rnacentral:rRNA from 1 species
AGCUCCAAUAGCGUAUAUUAAAGUUGUUGCAGUUAAAAAGCUCGUAGUUGGAUCUCGGGUCCAGGCCUGCGGUACAGCUUAGGCUGCCUACUGCUCGUCCUGACCUACCUACCGGUUUUCCCUUGGUGCUCUUAAGUGAGUGUCUUGGGUGGCCGGAACGUUUACUUUGAAAAAAUUAGAGUGCUCAAAGCAGGCUUUCGCCUGAAUAUUAGUGCAUGGAAUAAUUGAAUAGGACCUCGGUUCUAUUUUGUUGGUUUUCGGAACUCGAGGUAAUGAUUAAGAGGGACAGACGGGGGCAUUCGUAUUACGGUGUUAGAGGUGAAAUUCUUGGAUCGCCGUAAGACGAACUACUGCGAAAGCAUUUGCCAAGAAUGUUUUCAUUAAUCAAGAACGAAAGUAC